AACGUAGGGGGCCAGCGUUGCUCGGAAUUACUGGGCGUAAAGGGUCCGUAGGCGGUGUGGCAAGUCGGUAGUGAAAUCUCUGGGCUUAACCCAGAGGCUGCUGCCGAAACUGCCGUGCUAGAGUGUGAGAGAGGCGAGUGGAAUUGCGGGUGUAGCGGUGAAAUGCGUAGAUAUCCGCAGGAACAUCCGAGGCGAAAGCGGCUCGCUGGAUCGCAACUGACGCUGAGGGACGAAAGCUAGGGGAGCAAACAGG
rnacentral:rRNA from 1 species